rnacentral:rRNA from 1 species
AGCCCAGCACUGAAUCCCGCCGUUGUAACGGCGGCGGGAGAUGUGGUGUUCGGGAGGUUCCGCUUUCUUGUCGUCGUCCACUCCUGUCCAAGUUCGUCUUGAACGGGGCCCAUUUCCCAUAGAGGGUGCCAGGCCCGUAGCGACGGAGGACGGUGGCGAGAGGGACUCUCCUCAGAGUCGGGUUGCUUGAGAGUGCAGCCCUAAGUGGGUGGUAAACUCCAUCUAAGGCUAAAUAUUACCGCGAGACCGAUAGCGAACAAGUACCGU